rnacentral:misc_RNA from 1 species
AAAAUAUCCAAAACAUCCGGUUGGAAAGUUUGAGGAGGCAUGUUGGUUUGGUUUCUCAAGAUAUAUCACUUUUUUCUGGAACGGUUGCUGAAAACAUUGGAUAUAGGGAUCUGAUGACAGAAAUAGACACGGAGAAGGUCGAGGCGGCAGCAAGAAUUGCAAAUGCUGAUGAAUUUAUUAGAAUGCUUCCCAAAGGGUACAAAACAUAUAUUGGACCAAGGGGGUCAAGUUUAAGCGGUGGCCAAAAACAAAGA